CCUACGUGAGGCAGCAGUGGGGAAUAUUGCACAAUGGGGGAAACCCUGAUGCAGCGACGCCGCGUGAGUGAUGAAGUAUUUCGGUAUGUAAAGCUCUGUCAGCAGGGAAGAAACUGACGGUACCUGACUACGAAGCUCCGGCUCACUACGUGCCAGCAGCCGCGGUAAUACGGAGGGGGCAAGCGUUAUCCGGAUUUAUUGGGUGUAAAGGGAGCGUAGACGGCAUGGCAGGUCUGGAGUGAAAGGCGGGGGCUCAACCCCCGGACUGCUUUGGAAACUGGCUGGCUGGAGUGCAGGAGAGGUAAGUGGAAUGCCGAGUGUAGCGGUGAAAUGCAUAGAUAUUAUGAGGAACACCAGUGGCGAAGGCGGCUUACUGGACUGUAACUGACGUUGAGGCUCGAAAGCGUGGGGAGCAAACAGGAUUAGAUACCCUUGUAGUC
rnacentral:rRNA from 1 species